rnacentral:rRNA from 1 species
CUACGGGAGGCACCAGUGAGGAAUAUUGCACAAUGGGGGGAACCCUGAUGCAGUAACGCCGCGUGGAGGAUGACGCAUUUCGGUGUGUAAACUCCUUUUAUAUGUCAAGAAAAUGACGGUAGCAUAUGAAUAAGCACCGGCUAACUCCGUGCCAGCAGCCGCGGUAAUACGGAGGGUGCAAGCGUUACUCGGAAUCACUGGGCGUAAAGGACGCGUAGGCGGGUUGGAAAGUCAGGUGUGAAAUCCUACAGCUUAACUGUAGAACUGUACUUGAAACUUCUAAUCUAGAGUAUGGGAGGGGGAGAUGGAAUUAGUGGUGUAGGGGUAAAAUCCGUAGAUAUCACUAGGAAUACCUAAAGCGAAGGCGAUCUCCUGGAACAUUACUGACGCUAAGGCGUGAAAGCGUGGGGAGCAAACAGGAUUAGAUACCCUCGUAGUC